UACGUAGGGGGCAAGCGUUGUCCGGAUUUAUUGGGCGUAAAGAGCGUGUAGGCGGCCAGAUAGGUCCGUUGUGAAAACUAGAGGCUUAACCUCUAGACGUCGAUGGAAACCGUCUGGCUAGAGUCCGGAAGAGGAGAAUGGAAUUCCUGGUGUAGCGGUGAAAUGCGCAGAUAUCAGGAAGAACACCCGUGGCUAAGGCGGUUCUCUAGUACGGUACUGACGCUGAGACGCGAAAGCGUGGGGAGCGAACAGG
rnacentral:rRNA from 1 species